rnacentral:rRNA from 1 species
UACGUAGGGGGCAAGCGUUGUCCGGAAUCAUUGGGCGUAAAGCGCGUGUAGGCGGCUCGGUAAGUCCGCUCUGAAAGUCCAGGGCUCAACCCUGGGAUGCGGGUGGAUACUGCUGGGCUCGAGUCCGGAAGAGGCGAGUGGAAUUCCCGGUGUAGCGGUGAAAUGCGCAGAUAUCGGGAGGAACACCAAUGGCGAAGGCAGCUCGCUGGGACGUGACUGACGCUGAGACGCGAAAGCGUGGGGAGCAAACGGG